GAUGAACGCUGGCGGCGUGCUUAACACAUGCAAGUCGAACGGUGACGCUUGGGCUUGCUGCCGUGCAUCAGUGGCGCACGCGUGCGUGUCACGUGAGCGUACCCCCCCUGACCCUGGCAUAAGCGUAGGAAACGGCGUCUCAUACUGGAUACGAGAUCCGGCCGCAUAGGGCUUGUCUUGAAAAGUUGGCGGUUUGGGAUGGACUGGCGGGCUAUCAGCGUGUUGGUGAGGUACUGGAUCACCAAGGCGACGACGGGUAGCCGGCCUGAGAGGGGGACCGGGCACCCGGGGACUGAGAUACGGCCGAGAGUCCUGCGGGAGGCAGCAGUGGGGAAUAUUGCACAAUGGGCGAAAGCCGGAUGCAGCGACGCCGCGUGAGGGAUGACGGCCUUCGGGUAGGAAACCACUUUCAGCAGGGAAGAAGCGAAAGUGACGGUACCGGAAGAAGAAGGACCGGCUAACUACGUG
rnacentral:rRNA from 1 species